GGCACAUGAUGUCUGUUUCUCACGAUGGUCUGCGGAGGCCACGGGCAAUGCCGAGAACGCCUGACGGCUCAGCUGAUGCCAGGAG